GUAGCAUAAUCAUUAGGUUUUUAAUUGGAAUCUUGUAUGAAUGAUUGGACAAGAGAGGUACUGUCUUUGUAUUGAAACUUGAAUUUAACUUUUAAGUGAAAAGGCUUAAAUAUACUAAAGGGACGAUAAGACCCUAUAAAACUUUACAUUUAUGUUAAAUUUUAUGGAAUUUGAAAUUAUAAUUAUUAAGUUUAAUUUUUUGUUAUGUUGGGGAGACAAAAGCUAUAAUUAUGUAUAACUGCUUUUAAAAGAAACAAAAAUAAAUGGGGAGAGUUAAAGAUCCUUUAUUGAGAUUGUAAGAUUAAGUUACUUUAGGGAUAACAGCGUUAUUUUUUUUGAGAGUUCAUAUUGAAAAAAAAGAUUGCGACCUCGAUGUUGAAUUAAAAUAUCUUU
rnacentral:rRNA from 1 species